UCGUGCUUCAUUUAUAUGCUC
rnacentral:piRNA from 1 species